rnacentral:rRNA from 1 species
AAAUAUUCCUGUACCGAUAUAUAGUGCGAUGUGGGGACGGAGAAGGUUAACUCAGCCGGGUGUUGGAUGUCCCGGUUCAAGCGUGUAGUCGUGCUGCUUAGGCAAAUCCGGGCAGCUUAGAUGAGGCGUGAUAACGAGGAGGCUUGCCUCUGAAGUGAGUGAUACCCUGCUUCCAGGAAAAGCCACUAAGCUUCAGCUAUAUACGACCGUACCGCAAACCGACACUGGUGCGCGAGAUGAGUAUUCUAAGGCGCUUGAGAGAACUCUGGAGAAGGAACUCGGCAAAUUGACACCGUAACUUCGGAAGAAGGUGCGCCUUUAGUAGGUGAACCAUUUACUUGGGAAGCCCAAUGAGGCCGCAGAGAAUCGGUGGCUGCGACUGUUUAUUAAAAACACAGCACUCUGCAAAGACGAAAGUCGACGUAUAGGGUGUGACGCCUGCCCGGUGCUGGAAGAUUAAAUGAUGGGGUGCAAGCUCUUGACUGAAGUCCCAGUAAACGGCGGCCGUAACUAUAACGGUCCUAAGGUAGCGAAAUUCCUUGUCGGGUAAGUUCCGACCUGCACGAAUGGCGUAACGAUGGCCACACUGUCUCCUCCAGAGACUCAGCGAAGUUGAAAUGUUUGUGAUGAUGCAAUCUCCCCGCGGAAAGACGGAAAGACCCCAUGAACCUUUACUGUAGCUUUACAUUGGACUUUGAACAGAUCUGUGUAGGAUAGGUGGGAGGCUUUGAAGCGGUGCCGCUAGGUGUCGUGGAGCCAACGUUGAAAUACCACCCUGGUGUGUUUGAGGUUCUAACCUUGGCCCGUUAUCCGGGUUGGGGACAGUGUAUGGUGGGCAGUUUGACUGGGGCGGUCUCCUCCCAAAGCGUAACGGAGGAGUUCGAAGGUACGCUAGGCACGGUCGGAAAUCGUGCUAAUAGUGCAUUGGCAUAAGCGUGCUUGACUGCGAGACUGACAAGUCGAGCAGGUACGAAAGUAGGACAAAGUGAUCCGGUGGUUCUGUAUGGAAGGGCCAUCGCUCAACGGAUAAAAGGUACUCUGGGGAUAACAGGCUGAUACCGCCCAAGAGUUCAUAUCGACGGCGGUGUUUGGCACCUCGAUGUCGGCUCAUCUCAUCCUGGGGCUGUAGCCGGUCCCAAGGGUAUGGCUGUUCGCCAUUUAAAGAGGUACGUGAGCUGGGUUUAAAACGUCGUGAGACAGUUUGGUCCCUAUCUUCCGUGGGCGCUGCAAGAUUGAAAGAGCCUGCUCCUAGUACGAGAGGACCGGAGUGGACGCACCUCUGGUGUAUCGGUUGUCACGCCAGUGGCAUUGCCGAGUAGCUAUGUGCGGAAGAGAUAACCGCUGAAAGCAUCUAAGCGGGAAACUCGUCUUAAGAUUAGUCUUGCCGAGGCCUUGAGCCUCCUAAAGAGUCGUUCGAGACCAGGACGUUGAUAGGCUGGGUGUGGAAGCGCAGUAAUGCGUUAAGCUAACCAGUACUAAUUGCUCGUGAGGCUUGACCCU